UACGUAGGCAGCAAGCGUUGUUCGGAAUUACUGGGCGUAAAGAGUGUGUAGGCGGUGCUCCAAGUCUGGUGUGAAAUCUCCCGGCUUAACUGGGAGGGUGCAUUAGAAAACUGGAAUGCUAGAGGAUGGGAGAGGUAAGCGGAAUUCCUGGUGUAGCGGUGAAAUGCGUAGAUAUCAGGAGGAACACCUGUGGUGUAGACAGCUUACUGGACCAUUUCUGACGCUGAGACACGAAAGCGUGGGUAGCAAACAGG
rnacentral:rRNA from 1 species